rnacentral:rRNA from 1 species
CCAUUAAAGGCCUUACGCUUUUGGAUGAGCCCAGAUGAGAUUAGCUUGUUGGUAAGGUAAAAGCUUACCAAGGCAACGAUCUCUAGCUGGUCUGAGAGGAUAACCAGCCACACUGGAACUGAGACACGGUCCAGACUCCUACGGGAGGCAGCAGUGGGGAAUAUUGCACAAUGGGCGAAAGCCUGAUGCAGCUAUGCCGCGUGUAUGAAGAAGGCCUUAGGGUUGUAAAGUACUUUCAGCGGGGAGGAAAAAAAUAAAACUAAUAAUUUUAU